AGCAGCCGCGGUAAUUCCAGCUCCAAUAGCGUAUAUUAAAGUUGUUGCAGUUAAAAAGCUCGUAGUUGAAUUUCGGGAUUAGUGCGCCGGUCGUGCCUUCGGUAUGUACUGGUGUUACUGGUUCCUACCUUCUGACGAACCGUCAUGUCAUUAAUUUGGUGUGGCGGGGAAUCAGAACUGUUACUUUGAAAAAAUUAGAGUGUUUAAAGCAGGCUCGCGCUUGAAUACAUUAGCAUGGAAUAAUGAAAUAGGACGUUCGAUCCUAUUUUGUUGGUUUCUAGGAUUGACGUAAUGAUUAAUAGGGAUAGUUGGGGGCAUUAGUAUUCAAUUGUCAGAGGUGAAAUUCUUGGAUUUAUUGAAGACUAACUACUGCGAAAGCAUUUGCCAAGGAUGUUUUCAUUAAUCAAGAACGAAGUUAGGGAUCGAAGACGAUCAGAUACCGUCGUAGUCUUAACCAUAAACUAUAGACCGACUAGGGAUCGGAUGAUGUUAUUUUAUGACUUNAUUCGGCGCCUACGGG
rnacentral:rRNA from 1 species